UACGUAGGUGGCAAGCGUUGUCCGGAAUUAUUGGGCGUAAAGCGCGCGCAGGUGGUUUCUUAAGUCUGAUGUGAAAGCCCACGGCUCAACCGUGGAGGGUCAUUGGAAACUGGGGAACUUGAGUGCAGGAGAGAAGAGUGGAAUUCCACGUGUAGCGGUGAAAUGCGUAGAGAUGUGGAGGAACACCGGUGGCGAAGGCGGCCUGCUGGGCAGUAGCUGACGCUGAUGCGCGACAGCGUGGGGAGCAAACAGG
rnacentral:rRNA from 1 species